AACGAACGCUGGCGGCGCGUUUUAAGCAUGCAAGUCGAACGGUAGAGUUCCUUCGGGAGCUUGAGAGUGGCGAACGGGUGAGUAACACGUAGAUGAUCUGCCUUGAGGUUGGGGAUAGCUCAUGGAAACAUGAGGUAAUACCGAAUAAGUUCUUGACGGUAAAGUGUCAAGAGGAAAGGAGCUUAGGCUUCGCCUUAAGAUGAGUCUGCGGCUCAUUAGCUAGUUGGUGGGGUAAAGGCCUACCAAGGCGACGAUGAGUAGCCGGCCUGAGAGGGUGAUCGGCCACACUGGAACUGAGACACGGUCCAGACUCCUACGGGAGGCAGCAGCUAAGAAUCUUCCGCAAUGGGCGAAAGCCUGACGGAGCGACGCCGCGUGUGUGAUGAAGGCCGUGAGGUUGUAAAGCACUUUUUUGUCACUGAAGAAUAAUGAUGGGAGGAAUGCCCGUCAGAUGACGUUAGGUGACGAAUAAGCCCCGG
rnacentral:rRNA from 1 species